UACGUAGGAGGCGAGCGUUGUCCGGAUUUAUUGGGCGUAAAGAGCGCGCAGGCGGCACACUAAGUAAGAGGUGAAAUCUCCCUGCUCAACGGGGAGGGCGCAACUUAGACUGGUGAGCUAGAGGACGGUAGAGGGGGGUAGAAUUGCUGGUGUAGCGGUGAAAUGCGUAGAGAUCAGCAGGAAUACCCGUGGCGAAGGCGGCCCCCUGGGCCGAACCUGACGCUGAGGCGCGAAGGCUAGGGGAGCGAACGGG
rnacentral:rRNA from 1 species